rnacentral:lncRNA from 1 species
ACGUAUGUGGUUCAUUUUUUCGUACCUCGGCGACGGUAGUGACGUUCAGUAAUAAAUUUUAAUUUUAGGAGCAUUAAUGACAUUUCAUGUAUCAAAUUUAAAUUUUAAUGCAUUUAUAAAUAAAAAUUAGGAGGUUAUAUAACUAUUUGUAUAAUAAUAUUUGCUCCUCUGACUGACUCUCUCUGAACCACAUCAUCCACCUACCUUCAUUAUUAUAUUAUAUCUCUUAACUCCCUCUGCUCAAUUAUUAAUUAUUAGCAAAACUAAACACCAUUUUAUAUCCCAAAACAUGAUCUAAACUCUGCUAAUCUGGACCCAAUAUUUUACGCUUCUCCUCUUCAUCAUCAUCCUCCCUUCUAUAUCUCAGCGCCGCCGCCCCUUCCUCCACCGUGCAC